AUUGAACGCUGGCGGCAGGCUUAACACAUGCAAGUCGAGCGGGGUGAUGGUGCUUGCACUAGCACUUAGCGGCGGACGGGUGAGUGAUGCUUAGGAAUCUGCCUAUUAGUGGGGGACAACAUCUCGAACGGGAUGCUAAUACCGCAUACGUCCUACGGGAGAAAGCAGGGCAUCACUUUGGACAUUGCGCUAAUAUAUGAGCCUAAGUCGGAUUAGCUAGUUGGUGGGGUAAAGGCCUACCAAGGCGACGAUCUGUAGCGGGUCUGAGAGGAUGAUCCGCCACACUGGGACUGAGACACUGCCCAGACUCCUACGGGAGGCAGCAGUGGGGAAUAUUGGACAAUGGGGGGAACCCUGAUCCAGCCAUGCCGCGUGUGUGAAGAAGGCCUUAUGGUUGUAAAGCACUUUAAGCGAGGAGGAGGCUCCUUUGGUUAAUACCCAAGAUGAGUGGACGUUACUCGCAGAAUAAGCACCGGCUAACUCUGUGCCAGCCGCCGCAGUAA
rnacentral:rRNA from 1 species